rnacentral:rRNA from 1 species
AUUGAACGCUGGCGGCAGGCCUAACACAUGCAAGUCGAGCGGCGCGGCGGUCGGGUGCGUAAUGCCUAGGAAUCUGCCUGGUAGUGGGGGAUAACGUCCGGAAACGGGCGCUAAUACCGCAUACUAUUAGCUUAGCCUAGGUCGGAUUAGCUAGUUGGUGGGGUAAAGGCCUACCAAGGCGACGAUCCGUAACUGGUCUGAGAGGAUGAUCAGUCCCACUGGAACUGAGACACGGUCCAGACGCCUACGGGAGGCAGCAGUGGGGAAUAUUGGACAAUGGGCGAAAGCCUGAUGCAGCCAUGCCGCGUGUGUGAAGAAGGUCUUCGGAUUGUAAAGCACUUUAAGUUGGGAGGCGUUACCAACAGAAGAAGCACCGGCUAACUUCGUGCCAGCAGCCGCGGUAAUUC